GGAGUUGUGGUUCAGUGGUAGAACGCUUGCCUAGCAUGCAUGAGGCACUAGGUUCAAUCCCCAACACCA
rnacentral:tRNA from 1 species